rnacentral:rRNA from 1 species
GACGAACGCUGGCGGCGUGCUUAACACAUGCAAGUCGAACGAUGAAGCGGUGCUUGCACCGUGGAUUAGUGGCGAACGGGUGAGUAAUACGUGAGUGACCUACCUUUGACUCUGGGAUAAGCCUGGGAAACUGGGUCUAAUACCGGAUACGACCAAUCUCUGCAUGGGGUGUUGGUGGAAAGCGUUAUGGAGUGGUUUUAGAUGGGCUCACGGCCUAUCAGCUUGUUGGUGAGGUAAUGGCUUACCAAGGCGACGACGGGUAGCCGGCCUGAGAGGGUGACCGGCCACACUGGGACUGAGACACGGCCCAGACUCCUACGGGAGGCAGCAGUGGGGAAUAUUGCACAAUGGGCGCAAGCCUGAUGCAGCGACGCCGCGUGAGGGAUGACGGCCUUCGGGUUGUAAACCUCUGUUAGCAUCGAAGAAGCGAAAGUGACGGUAGGUGCAGAGAAAGCGCCGGCUAACUACGU